GGAAUCUUGGACAAUGGGCGAAAGCCUGAUCCAGCCAUGCCGCGUGAGUGAUGAAGGCCCUAGGGUUGUAAAACUCUUUCGGCGGGGACGAUAAUGACGGUACCCGCCGAAGAAGCCCCGGCUAACUUCGUGCCAGCAGCCGCGGUAAUACGAAGGGGGCUAGCGUUGUUCGGCAUUACUGGGCGUAAAGCGCGCCCAGGCGGUUCUUUAAGUCAGGGGUGAAAGCCCAGAGCUCAACUCUGGAAUUGCCCUUGAAACUAGAGAACUUGGGUACGGGAGAGGUGAGUGGAAUUCCGAGUGUAGAGGUGAAAUUCGUAGAUAUUCGGAAGAACACCAGUGGCGAAGGCGGCUCACUGGCCCGUUACCGACGCUCAGGCGCGACAGCGUGGGGAGCAAAC
rnacentral:rRNA from 1 species